rnacentral:rRNA from 1 species
AGCGUACACGGUGGAUGCCCUGGCAGUCAGAGGCGAUGAAGGACGUGCUAAUCUGCGAAAAGCGUCGGUAAGGUGAUAUGAACCGUUAUAACCGGCGAUGUCCGAAUGGGGAAACCCAGUGCAAUUCGUUGCACUAUCGUUAACUGAAUACAUAGGUUAACGAGGCGAACCGGGGGAACUGAAACAUCUAAGUACCCCGAGGAAAAGAAAUCAACCGAGAUUCCCCCAGUAGCGGCGAGCGAACGGGGAGCAGCCCGGAGUCUGAAUCAGCUUGUGUGUUAGUGGAAGCGUCUGGAAAGUCGCAGGGUACAGGGUGAUACUCCCGUACACUAAAACGCACAGGCUGUGAACUCGAAGAGUAGGGCGGGACACGUGGUAUCCUGUCUGAAUAUGGGGGGACCAUCCUCCAAGGCUAAAUACUCCUGACUGACCGAUAGUGAACCAGUACCGUGAGGGAAAGGCGAAAAGAACCCCGGCGAGGGGAGUGAAAAAGAACCUGAAACCGUGUACGUACAAGCAGUAGGAGCCCACUAGUUGGGUGACUGCGUACCUUUUGUAUAAUGGGUCAGCGACUUAUAUUCUGUAGCAAGGUUAACCGAAUAGGGGAGCCGCAGGGAAACCGAGUCUUAACUGGGCGUUAAGUUGCAGGGUAUAGACCCGAAACCCGGUGAUCUAGCCAUGGGCAGGUUGAAGGUUGGGUAACACUAACUGGAGGACCGAACCGACUAAUGUUGAAAAAUUAGCGGAUGACUUGUGGCUGGGGGUGAAAGGCCAAUCAAACCCGGAGAUAGCUGGUUCUCCCCGAAAGCUAUUUAGGUAGCGCCUCGUGAAUUCAUCUUCGGGGGUAGAGCACUGUUUCGGCUAGGGGGUCAUCCCGACUUACCAACCCGAUGCAAACUACGAAUACCGAAGAAUGUUAUCACGGGAGACACACGGCGGGUGCUAACGUCCGUCGUGAAGAGGGAAACAACCCAGACCGCCAGCUAAGGUCCCAAAGUCAUGGUUAAGUGGGAAACGAUGUGGGAAGGCCCAGACAGCCAGGAUGUUGGCUUAGAAGCAGCCAUCAUUUAAAGAAAGCGUAAUAGCUCACUGGUCGAGUCGGCCUGCGCGGAAGAUGUAACGGGGCUAAACCAUGCACCGAAGCUGCGGCAGCGACACUAUGUGUUGUUGGGUAGGGGAGCGUUCUGUAAGCCGUUGAAGGUGGCCUGUGAGGGUUGCUGGAGGUAUCAGAAGUGCGAAUGCUGACAUAAGUAACGAUAAUGCGGGUGAAAAACCCGCACGCCGGAAGACCAAGGGUUCCUGUCCAACGUUAAUCGGGGCAGGGUGAGUCGACCCCUAAGGCGAGGCCGAAAGGCGUAGUCGAUGGGAAACAGGUUAAUAUUCCUGUACUUGGUGUUACUGCGAAGGGGGGACGGAGAAGGCUAUGUUGGCCGGGCGACGGUUGUCCCGGUUUAAGCAUGUAGGCGGAUGUUCCAGGUAAAUCCGGAACGUUAUUAACGCUGAGGUGUGAUGACGAGGCACUACGGUGCUGAAGUGACAAAUGCCCUGCUUCCAGGAAAAGCCUCUAAGCAUCAGGUAACAUCAAAUCGUACCCCAAACCGACACUGGUGGUCAGGUAGAGAAUACCAAGGCGCUUGAGAGAACUCGGGUGAAGGAACUAGGCAAAAUGGUGCCGUAACUUCGGGAGAAGGCACGCUGAUGGUAAGUGAAGCGACUUGCUCGUGGAGCUGAAAUCAGUCGAAGAUACCAGCUGGCUGCAACUGUUUAUUAAAAACACAGCACUGUGCAAACACGAAAGUGGACGUAUACGGUGUGACGCCUGCCCGGUGCCGGAAGGUUAAUUGAUGGGGUUAUCCUCGCGGAGAAGCUCUUGAUCGAAGCCCCGGUAAACGGCGGCCGUAACUAUAACGGUCCUAAGGUAGCGAAAUUCCUUGUCGGGUAAGUUCCGACCUGCACGAAUGGCGUAAUGAUGGCCAGGCUGUCUCCACCCGAGACUCAGUGAAAUUGAACUCGCUGUGAAGAUGCAGUGUACCCGCGGCAAGACGGAAAGACCCCGUGAACCUUUACUAUAGCUUGACACUGAACACUGGUCCUUGAUGUGUAGGAUAGGUGGGAGGCUUUGAAGUGUGGACGCCAGUCUGCAUGGAGCCGUCCUUGAAAUACCACCCUUUAAUGGCUGGUGUUCUAACGUGGGCCCGUGAUCCGGGUUGCGGACAGUGUCUGGUGGGUAGUUUGACUGGGGCGGUCUCCUCCUAAAGAGUAACGGAGGAGCACGAAGGUCAGCUAAUCCUGGUCGGACAUCAGGAGGUUAGUGCAAUGGCAUAAGCUGGCUUGACUGCGAGCGUGACGGCGCGAGCAGGUGCGAAAGCAGGUCAUAGUGAUCCGGUGGUUCUGAAUGGAAGGGCCAUCGCUCAACGGAUAAAAGGUACUCCGGGGAUAACAGGCUGAUACCGCCCAAGAGUUCAUAUCGACGGCGGUGUUUGGCACCUCGAUGUCGGCUCAUCACAUCCUGGGGCUGAAGUAGGUCCCAAGGGUAUGGCUGUUCGCCAUUUAAAGUGGUACGCGAGCUGGGUUUAGAACGUCGUGAGACAGUUCGGUCCCUAUCUGCCGUGGGCGCUGGAGAAUUGAGGGGGGCUGCUCCUAGUACGAGAGGACCGGAGUGGACGCAUCACUGGUGUUCGGGUUGUCAUGCCAAUGGCAUUGCCCGGUAGCUAAAUGCGGAAGAGAUAAGUGCUGAAAGCAUCUAAGCACGAAACUUGCCCCGAGAUGAGUUCUCCCUGACUCCUUGA